rnacentral:rRNA from 1 species
GACGAACCGGACAAACGUUAUUCGGAAUUACUGGGCUUAAAGGGUUUGUAGGCGGCCUUGUAAGUCAGGUGUGAAAUCCCUCGGCUCAACCGAGGAAUAGCGCUUGAUACUGCAAGGCUUGAGGGAGACAGGGGUAAGCGGAACUGAUGGUGGAGCGGUGAAAUGCGUUGAUAUCAUCAGGAACACCGGUGGCGAAAGCGGCUUACUGGGUCUCUUCUGGCGCUGAGGAACGAAAGCUAGGGGAGCGAACGGG